rnacentral:rRNA from 1 species
GCAUAUCAAUAAGCGGAGGAAAAGAAACUAACAAGGAUUCCCCUAGUAACGGCGAGUGAAGCGGGAAGAGCUCAAAUUUGAAAGCUGUUGCCUUUGGUAACCGCAUUGUAAUCUCGAGAUCUGUUUUCCGCGCUGGACCAUGUACAAGUCCCUUGGAAUAGGGCGUCAUAGAGGGUGAGAAUCCCGUACUUGACAUGGCCUCCCAGUGCUUUGUGAUACAGGCUCAACGAGUCGAGUUGUUUGGGAAUGCAGCUCAAAAUGGGUGGUAAAUUCCAUCUAAAGCUAAAUAUUGGGGAGAGACCGAUAGCGAACAAGUACCGUGAGGGAAAGAUGAAAAGCACUUUGGAAAGAGAGUUAAACAGUACGUGAAAUUGUCAAAAGGGAACCGUUUAAAGUUAGUCAUGCUUGCCUGGACUCAGCCUUGCUUUUGCUUGGUGCAUUUCCAGGUUAGCAGGUCAGCAUCGAUUUUGACUGCUGGAUAAGGGUGAGAGGAAUGUGGCACCUUCGGGUGUGUUAUAGCCUUUCACUGGAUGCAGCAGUUGGGACCGAGGAACGCAGCGCGCCUUUAUGGCGGACCUUCGGGUACCUUCGCGCUU